CCUGGGGCUCACGCCCCAGGCUUUAUGCUUUCGCCAGCUUCGCUGGCU
rfam:Acidobacteria bacterium 13_1_40CM_3_55_6 13_1_40cm_3_scaffold_4578, whole genome shotgun sequence.